GAUGAAGAACGUAGCGAAAUGCGAUAAGUAAUGUGAAUUGCAGAAUUCAGUGAAUCAUCGAAUCUUUGAACGCACAUUGCGCCCCUUGGUAUUCCGAGGGGCAUGCCUGUUCGAGCGUCAUUAUAACCCCUCAAGCUCAGCUUGGUGUUGGGGCCUGCUGCACUGGCAGCCCUUAAAAUCAGUGGCGGCGACAUCUGGCUCUAAGCGUAGUAAUUCUUCUCGCUAUGGAGUCCUGGUGGAUGCUUGCCAUCAACCCCCAAUUUUUCUAUGGUUGACCUCGGAUCAGGUAGGGAUACCCGCUGAACUUAAGCAUAUCAAUAAGCGGAGGA
rnacentral:misc_RNA from 1 species